rnacentral:rRNA from 1 species
UACGAAGGGGGCUAGCGUUGCUCGGAAUCACUGGGCGUAAAGGGUGCGUAGGCGGGUCUUUAAGUCAGGGGUGAAAUCCUGGAGCUCAACUCCAGAACUGCCUUUGAUACUGAAGAUCUUGAGUACGGGAGAGGUGUGUGGAACUCCGAGUGUAGAGGUGAAAUUCGUAGAUAUUCGGAAGAACACCAGUGGCGAAGGCGACACACUGGCCCGUUACUGACGCUGAGGCGCGAAAGCGUGGGGAGCAAACAGG